ACGAACGCUGGCGGCGUGCUUAACACAUGCAAGUCGAACGAUGAAGCCCUUCGGGGUGGAUUAGUGGCGAACGGGUGAGUAACACGUGGGCAAUCUGCCCUUCACUCUGGGACAAGCCCUGGAAACGGGGUCUAAUACCGGAUAACACUCCUGCCUGCAUGGGUGGGGGUUAAAAGCUCCGGCGGUGAAGGAUGAGCCCGCGGCCUAUCAGCUUGUUGGUGAGGUAGUGGCUCACCAAGGCGACGACGGGUAGCCG
rnacentral:rRNA from 4 species